rnacentral:rRNA from 1 species
AAAGCGAGGCCAAUACCGCAUGGGGUCCACGGGGUGGGACCCGGGGAUCAAAGCACGCAAGUGCGCGCGAGGAGGAGCCCGCGGCCCAUUAGCUAGUUGGCGGGGUAAGGGCCCACCAAGGCGACGAUGGGUAGCCGGCCUGAGAGGGUGUACGGCCACACUGGGACUGAGAUACGGCCCAGACUCCUACGGGAGGCAGCAGUCGGGAAUCUUCCACAAUGGGCGAAAGCCUGAUGGAGCAACGCCGCGUGAGUGAGGACGGCCUUCGGGUUGUAAAGCUCUGUCACAGGGGACGAAGGGCUCUUACGGGAGCGGUGACGGUACCCUGGGAGGAAGCCCCGGCUAACUACGUGCCAGCAGCCGCGGUAAGACGUAGGGGGCGAGCGUUGUCCGGAAUGACUGGGCGUAAAGGGCGCGUAGGCGGCACGAGACGUCCGGGGUUAAAUGGUUGGGCUCAACCCGAUCACGGCCCUGGAAACGGGCGAGCUAGAGGGUCGGAGAGGCAAGCGGAAUUCCCGGUGUAGCGGUGAAAUGCGUAGAGAUCGGGAGGAACACCAGUGGCGAAGGCGGCUUGCUGGACGACACCUGACGCUGAGGCGCGAAAGCCAGGGGAGCAAACGGGAUUAGAUACCCCGGUAGUCCUGGCCGUAAACGAUGGGUACUAGGUGUAGGGGGUAUCGACCCCCCCUGUGCCGGAGUUCACGCAAUAAGUACCCCGCCUGGGGAGUACGGCCGCAAGGCUGAAACUCAAAGGAAUUGACGG